UACCAGACUCCUACGGGAGGCAGCAGAGGGGAAUAUUGCACAAUGGGGGAAACCCUGAUGCAGCGACGCCGCGUGAGUGAAGAAGUAUUUCGGUAUGUAAAGCUCUAUCAGCAGGGAAGAUAAUGACGGUACCUGAGUAAGAAGCCCCGGCUAACUACGUGCCAGCAGCCGCGGUAAUACGUAGGGGGCAAGCGUUAUCCGGAUUUACUGGGUGUAAAGGGAGCGUAGACGGCAUGGCAAGUCUGAAGUGAAAGCCCGGGGCUCAACCGCGGGACUGCUUUGGAAACUGUUAAGCUGGAGUGCAGGAGAGGUAAGUGGAAUUCCUAGUGUAGCGGUGAAAUGCGUAGAUAUUAGGAGGAACACCAGUGGCGAAGGCGGCUUACUGGACUGUAACUGACGUUGAGGCUCGAAAGCGUGGGGAGCAAACAGGAUUAGAUACCCCCGUAC
rnacentral:rRNA from 1 species